rnacentral:rRNA from 1 species
ACGGGAGGCAGCAGUGGGGAAUAUUGCACAAUGGGGGGAACCCUGAUGCAGCGACGCCGCGUGAGCGAAGAAGUAUUUCGGUAUGUAAAGCUCUAUCAGCAGGGAAGAAACAGGACGGUACCUGCACAAGAAGCCCCGGCUAACUACGUGCCAGCAGCCGCGGUAAUACGUAGGGGGCGAGCGUUAUCCGGAUUUACUGGGUGUAAAGGGAGCGUAGACGGCUGUGCAAGUCUGGAGUGAAACCCCAGGGCCCAACCCCGGAACUGCUCUGGAAACUGUGUGGCUCGAGUACCGGAGGGGUAGGCGGAACUCCUAGUGUAGCGGUGAAAUGCGUAGAUAUUAGGAAGAACACCGGCGGCGAAGGCGGCCUACUGGACGGUAACUGACGUUGAGGCUCGAAAGCGUGGGGAGCAAACAGGAUUAGAUACCCUGGUA